rnacentral:snRNA from 1 species
AGCUUUGCGCAGUGGCAGUAUUGUAGCCAAUGAGGUCUAGCCGAGGCACGAUUAUUGCUAAUUGGAAAAAAAAAAGACUGUUGUUUCUCUCAAGACCAAUCAACGAAGCCAUCCCAGGUACCCAGUUCCCAAGGUGGGAGUGGCUGAGUUUAUAUAAA